rnacentral:rRNA from 1 species
GAAAGCGUGGGGAGCAAACAGGAUUAGAUACCUGGUAGACACGCCGUAAACGAUGUCAACUAGCCGUUGGAAUCCUUGAGAUUUUAGUGGCGCAGGUAACGCAUUAAGUUGACCGCCUGGGGAGUACGGCCGCAAGGUUAAAACUCAAAUGAAUUGACGGGGGCCCGCACAAGCGGUGGAGCAUGUGGUUUAAUUUGAAGCAACGCGAAGAACCUUACCAGGCCUUGACAUGCAGAGAACUUUCCAGAGAUGGAUUGGUGCCUUUGGGAACUAUGACACAGGUGGUGCAUGGCUGUUGUCAGCUCGUGUUGUGAGAUGUUGGGUUAAGUCCCGUAACGAGCGCAACCCUUGUCUUUAGUUACCAGCACGUUAUGGUGGGCACUUUAAGGAGACUGCCGGUGACAAACCGGAGGAAGGUGGGGAUGACGUCAAGUCAUCAUGGCCCUUACGGCCUGGGCUACACACGUGUUACAAUGGUCGGUACAGAGGGUUGCCAAGCCGCGAGGUGGAGCUAAUCUCACAAAACCGAUUGUAGUCCGGAUCGCAGUUUGCAAUUGGAUUGCGUGAAGUCGGAAUCGUUAGUAAUCGGGAAUC